rnacentral:rRNA from 1 species
UACGGAGGGUGCAAGCGUUGUCCGGAAUCACUGGGCGUAAAGGGCGCGUAGGCGGCCUGGUAAGUAGGGGGUGAAAUCCUGCGGCUUAACCGCAGGGCUGCCUUCUAAACUGUCAGGCUUGAGCACGGUAGAGGCAGAUGGAAUUCCCGGUGUAGCGGUGGAAUGCGUAGAGAUCGGGAAGAACAGCAGUGGCGAAGGCGGUCUGCUGGGCCGUUGCUGACGCUGAGGCGCGACAGCGUGGGGAGCAAACAGG